rnacentral:rRNA from 1 species
CCUACGGGUGACAGCAGUGGGGGAUAUUGCACAAUGGGGGAAACCCUGAUGCAGCGACGCCGCGUGAGUGAAGAAGCGCCUCGGCGCGUAAAGCCCUGUCAGCAGGGAAGAAAAUGACGGUACCUGAAGAAGAAGCCCCGGCUAACUACGUGCCAGCAGCCGCGGUAAUACGUAGGGGGCAAGCGUUAUCCGGAUUUACUGGGUGUAAAGGGGGCGCAGACGGCGAUGAAAGCCAGGAGUGAAAGCCCGGGGCCCAACCCCGGGACUGCUCUUGGAACUGCGUGGCUAGAGUGCAGGAGGGGCAGGCGGAAUUCCUGGUGUAGCAGUGAAAUGCGUAGAUAUCAGGAGGAACACCGGUGGCGAAGGCGGCCUGCUGGACUGCAACUGACGUUGAGGCCCGAAAGCGUAGGGAGCAAACAGGAUUAGAUACCCCUGUAGUC